CAUGCAGUCGACGCCCCGCAAAGGGGAAGUGGCAGACGGGUGAGUAACGCGUGGGAACAUACCCUUUCCUGCGGAAUAGCUCCGGGAAACUGGAAUUAAUACCGCAUACGCCCUACGGGGGAAAGAUUUAUCGGGGAAGGAUUGGCCCGCGUUGGAUUAGCUAGUUGGUGGGGUAAAGGCCUACCAAGGCGACGAUCCAUAGCUGGUCUGAGAGGAUGAUCAGCCACAUUGGGACUGAGACACGGCCCAAACUCCUACGGGAGGCAGCAGUGGGGAAUAUUGGACAAUGGGCGCAAGCCUGAUCCAGCCAUGCCGCGUGAGUGAUGAAGGCCUUAGGGUUGUAAAGCUCUUUCACCGAUGAAGAUAAUGACGGUAGUCGGAGAAGAAGCCCCGGCUAACUUCGUGCCAGCAGCCGCGGUAAUACGAAGGGGGGCUAGCGUUGUUCGGAAUUACUGGGCGUAAGGCGCACGGAGGCGGAUAUUUAAGUCAGGGGUGAGAUCCCGCAGCUCAGCUGCGGAACUGCAUUUGAUACUGGAUAUCU
rnacentral:rRNA from 1 species